rnacentral:rRNA from 1 species
GUAGGGUGCGAGCGUUAAUCGGGAAUUACUGGGGCGUAAAGCGUGCGCAGGCGGUUGUGCAAGACAGAUGUGAAAUCCCCGGGGCUCAACCUGGGAAUUGCAUUUGUGACUGCACGGCUAGAGUGUGUCAGAGGGGGGUAGAAUUCCACGUGUAGCAGUGAAAUGCGUAGAGAUGUGGAGGAAUACCGAUGGCGAAGGCAGCCCCCUGGGAUAACACUGACGCUCAUGCACGAAAGCGUGGGGAGCAAACAGGAUUAGAUACCCUGGUAGUCCACGCCCUAAACGAUGUCAACUAGUUGUCGGGUCUUAAUUGACUUGGUAACGCAGCUAACGCGUGAAGUUGACCGCCUGGGGAGUACGGUCGCAAAGAUUA